rnacentral:rRNA from 1 species
CUAGUUGUGACCGUAAACGAUGCCAACCAGCGAUUCGGCGACGUUCUUUUUAUGACUCGCUGAGCAGCUUCCGGGAAACCAAAGUUUUUCGGUUCCGGGGGAAGUAUGGUUGCAAAGCUGAAACUUAAAGGAAUUGACGGAAGGGCACCACCAGGAGUGGAGCAUGCGGCUUAAUUUGACUCAACACGGGAAAACUCACCCGUCCCGAACACUGUGAGGAUUGACAGAUCAAGAGCUCUUUCUUGAUUCAGUGGGUAGUGGUGCAUGGCCGUUCUUAGUUGGUGGAGCGAUUUGUCUGGCUAAUUCCGAUAACGAACGAGACUCUGGCCUACUAACUAGUGGCGGUGUUCAUGUCUCCUGUAUGGCCGCAGACGGUUGCGCGCUCGUCGUUACAACCGCUGCGCGCUCUAUGGAGCAGCAGCGCCGGCAGCCGCUUCUUAGAGGGACCAGCGACACUUUCGCAAGCCGCACGAGAAAGAGCAAUAACAGGUCUGUGAUGCCCUUAGAUGUACGGGGCUGCACGCGUGCUACACUGACGGCGUCAGCGUGCGUUCAAGCCCGGCCUGCCAAGGUCGGGAAAUCGGUUGAAACGUUCUCGUGACUGGGACAGGGAAUUGAAAUUAUUUCCCUCGAACGAGGAAUUCCCAGUAAGCGCGAGUCAUCAGCUUGCGUUGAUUA